rnacentral:rRNA from 1 species
AGUGAACGCUGGCGGUAGGCCUAACACAUGCAAGUCGAACGGCAGCACAGUAAGAGCUUGCUCUUACGGGUGGCGAGUGGCGGACGGGUGAGGAAUACAUCGGAAUCUACUUUUUCGUGGGGGAUAACGUAGGGAAACUUACGCUAAUACCGCAUACGACCUACGGGUGAAAGCAGGGGAUCUUCGGACCUUGCGCGAUUGAAUGAGCCGAUGUCGGAUUAGCUAGUUGGCGGGGUAAAGGCCCACCAAGGCGACGAUCCGUAGCUGGUCUGAGAGGAUGAUCAGCCACACGGGAACUGAGACACGGUCCAGACUCCUGCGGGAGGCAGCAGUGGGGAAUAUUGGACAAUGGGGGCAAGCCUGAUCCAGCCAUACGGAGUGGGUUCAGAAGGCCUUCGGGUUGUAAAGCCCUUAUGUUGGGAGAUAAAAGCAGCAGGUUAAUACCCCGCGGUUCUGACGGUACCCAAAGAAGAAGCACCGGCUAACUUCGUG